ACAAACCCACCACAAACAUAAGGACUCUGUCUAUACAGACAAAGCCUCUACUGUAUUUGCACGGCGCACCACUACAAGCAAUUACCAUAACACACAUACACUCACACAACUCAGCAAUCACAAUACAGAUGCUCAUCAUAUUCCAAACAGCUAACCAUUCUUAAAGAUGAUGCCAUUCUCUAAGAACUCAUUAGACGAAGGAUGAUAAGAAUGCACAAUAUAUCAAACAAUUCUAUUUUUUACAAGUAAUUUUCACCCAAGAACUUUAUUUUAAAAGUACUACGCUAUCAAUAAAUCCAAAUUUUUAUUUGAACAUUUUUUCCCACACGAAAACUCAUCUUUUUAAAAAAUUCAGCUACCACGAGGGGUAGAAAAUGUUUUAUCAUAAAUCCACAACUUAUCCAUCUCAUUUUCACCGAAUCUCACCGAAUCAUUUCUGCAUCUCAUCUUUAAUUCUUCUCGAAAUCUUUCCAAUUAGCACCACAUGCUAUAUCCUAUUCAUAUGCUCAUUACAAAAGUCUUGUGCAUUACAUCUUUCCCUUCUUCAAAAGAGUUUCAUACGCAAAACUCAAACACAAGCUAUCAUCAUGUCAUGCUUAUACUCGGCAACUCCAAUUUCCAAAUGACCCUUAAAACACACUUGGUGAUGCAAACUUUUAUUCACACUCCUACAAGUUCCCGUAACCAUUGUCUUAGCAUUUUACUAUCCCUUGAGCACGGCAGUUUCCUCAUGUCUCAAUCAUUGAAACAUAAUCCUACGACCACAAUUAUCCUACUUCUAACAUAAAUUUUUCUCACUAAACAAUGUGUCACUGCAUUCAAUUCCCGUCUUCCAUCAAUGAUGGCAAGUAAAUAGAUUUUUCAAGUUCAUCAAUUCAGGCCCUCACAUAACAUCAAAUCUUACAUGCAGCAUUUGCACAUCUAUGGCCAUACUCCCUGACGAUUAUCCUAACUAUAUAGUUCCAGCCAAAACCCUAACUUCACCGU
rnacentral:lncRNA from 1 species